rnacentral:rRNA from 1 species
UACGUAGGGUGCGAGCGUUAAUCGGAAUUACUGGGCGUAAAGCGUGCGCAGGCGGUUAUGCAAGACAGAUGUGAAAUCCCCGGGCUCAACCUGGGAACUGCAUUUGUGAUUGCAUGGCUGGAGUGCGGCAGAGGGGGAUGGAAUUCCGCGUGUAGCAGUGAAAUGCGUAGAUAUGCGGAGGAACACCGAUGGCGAAGGCAAUCCCCUGGGCCUGCACUGACGCUCAUGCACGAAAGCGUGGGGAGCAAACAGG